AAUGUGGAAGAAAUGCAUCUUAAAAUUCAUGAAAUAGGUAACAUUUAUUAAGUGCUAACUCUGUCCCAGGAACUACACUCAAUGCUUACGGUGUACUGAUCUUGAUCUAGAACACCUGCAUUCGAAUUGAAGUUUUGUCCGGAACAUGGAAGUUUCCAUCAGAACAUGAAAGAAGAUGAUUGGAAGGAGUUCUGAGUUUUCAUUUAUCCAGUAAGUGGCCAAGAUUGCAAAGCUGGACCUUGUUGGCAAAGGCAGCCGGGACAGGAGCAGGAGUGCUGCUGGGGAUGAACAGUGAGGCUUCUGCCGAUAGAGAAGGACACAGCAAAGACAGCGACUAACACUACUGGGCGGUCAUCAUUAAUACUUCAGGGAGGUCUCUCUCUUCUCCUGAAGCUGAAAUUGUGAUUCCUGCGCUGUGGGGUCUGGAGAACGAUGGAGCUGAUUAACUUCCUCCCGUGGUGCCCACCCAGGAACAAAAGAUCUUGUAAGAUUGGCUUUUUGGCAAAACAACUUAAUUGAAGUUCUCAUCCACUUCUUACCCAAAUGUAAAUGAUGGUAAAGAGCAACGUAAAGAA